rnacentral:rRNA from 1 species
UUGGUCAGAACGAACGCUGGCGGCGCGUUUAAGCAUGCAAGUCGAGCGGCAAGGGCCUUCGGGCCCCUAGAGCGGCGGACGGGUGAGUAACACGUGGACAAUCUGCCCCCCGGCCCGGGAUAGCCCAGGGAAACCUGGAUUAAUACCGGAUGAGACGGGACCCGCGAUGGCGGGACCCGGGAAAGGCGCUGCGGCGCCGCCGGGGGAUGAGUCUGCGUCCCAUUAGCUAGACGGCGGGGUAACGGCCCACCGUGGCGACGAUGGGUAGCCGGCCUGAGAGGGUGGACGGCCACAUUGGAACUGAGACACGGUCCAGACUCCUACGGGAGGCAGCAGCUAAGAAUCUUCCGCAAUGGGCGAAAGCCUGACGGAGCCGACGCCGCGUGAACGAAGAAGGCCGUGAGGUUGUAAAGUUCUUUUCGGGAGGGGGAACAACCGUGGCAGGGAAUGGCCGCGGGAUGACGUGAAUCCCGGAAUAAGCCCCGGCUAACUACGUGCCAGCCGCUGC